AAACUGUCCCUAAGUUUUGCAACUGUAGCAGUUUUGGCCCUCCAAAACCAAUUUUUGGUAAAUAAAAUAAAAAAAUAACACGUGACACCCCACUUAGAGUGUCAUGUCAGCGUAGACCGAGUUAAAAUUGAUUUUGGGGGCCAAAACUACCAAAGAUGCAAAACUUAGGAGGCGGUUU
rfam:Medicago truncatula strain A17 chromosome 4, whole genome shotgun sequence.